rnacentral:rRNA from 1 species
GUGUCGUGAGAUGUUGGUUAAGUCCGCAACGAGCGCAACCCCUACUUGUUAGUUGCCAUCAUUCAGUUGGGCACUCUAGCGAGACUGCCGGUAAUAAACCGGAGGAAGGUGGGGAUGACGUCAAAUCAUCAUGCCCCUUAUGACCUGGGCUACACACGUGCUACAAUGGUUGGUACAACGAGUUGCGAGUCGGUGACGGCGAGCUAAUCUCUUAAAGCCAAUCUCAGUUCGGAUUGUAGGCUGCAACUCGCCUACAUGAAGUCGGAAUCGCUAGUAAUCGCGGAUCAGCACGCCGCGGUGAAUACGUUCCCGGGCCUU